AACGAACGCUGGCGGCAGGCUUAACACAUGCAAGUCGAGCGGGGUGAUGGUGCUUGCACUAUCACUUAGCGGCGGACGGGUGAGUAAUGCUUAGGAAUCUGCCUAUUAGUGGGGGACAACAUCUCGAAAGGGAUGCUAAUACCGCAUACGUCCUACGGGAGAAAGCAGGGGAUCACUUGUGACCUUGCGCUAAUAGAUGAGCCUAAGUCGGAUUAGCUAGUUGGUGGGGUAAAGGCCUACCAAGGCGACGAUCUGUAGCGGGUCUGAGAGGAUGAUCCGCCACACUGGGACGGAGACACGGCCCAGACUCCUACGGGAGGCAGCAGGGGGGAAUAUUGGACAAUGGGGGGAACCCUGAUCCAGCCAUGCCGCGUGUGUGAAGAAGGCCUUAUGGUUGUAAAGCACUUUAAGCGAGGAGGAGGCUCUUUUGGUUAAUACCCAAGAUGAGUGGACGUUACUCGCAGAAUAAGCACCGGCUAACUCUGUGCCAGCCGCCGCAGUAA
rnacentral:rRNA from 1 species